rnacentral:rRNA from 1 species
UACGUAGGGUGCGAGCGUUAAUCGGAAUUACUGGGCGUAAAGCGUGCGCAGGCGGUUUUUUAAGUCCGAGGUGAAAGCCUCGGGCUUAACCUGGGAAUGGCAUUUGAGACUGCAAGGCUUGAGUGCGGCAGAGGAGACUGGAAUUGCUGGUGUAGAAGUGAAAUGCGUAGAUAUCAGGAGGAAUACCAAUGGCGAAGGCAGGUCUCUGGGCUGGCACUGACGCUGAGGAGCGAAAGCGUGGGGAGCGAACAGG